rnacentral:rRNA from 1 species
CCUACGGGUGGCAGCAGUGGGGAAUAUUGGACAAUGGGGGCAACCCUGAUCCAGCCAUGCCGCGUGUGUGAAGAAGGCCCUCGGGUUGUAAAGCACUUUCAGUGAGGAAGAACGCCUGGUGGUUAAUACCCAUCAGGAAAGACAUCACUCACAGAAGAAGCACCGGCUAACUCCGUGCCAGCAGCCGCGGUAAUACGGAGGGUGCGAGCGUUAAUCGGAAUUACUGGGCGUAAAGCGCGCGUAGGUGGCUUGAUAAGCCGGUUGUGAAAGCCCCGGGCUCAACCUGGGAACGGCAUCCGGAACUGUCAAGCUAGAGUGCAGGAGAGGAAGGUAGAAUUCCCGGUGUAGCGGUGAAAUGCGUAGAGAUCGGGAGGAAUACCAGUGGCGAAGGCGGUCUUCUGGACUGACACUGACACUGAGGUGCGAAAGCGUGGGUAGCAAACAGGAUUAGAUACCCCUGUAGUC